CCUACGGGUGGCAGCAGUGAGGAAUAUUGGUCAAUGGACGGAAGUCUGAACCAGCCAAGUCGCGUGCAGGAAGACGGCACUAUGAGUUGUAAACUGCUUUUGUACGGGGGUAAACGCAGAUACGCGUAUCUGUCUGAAAGUACCGUACGAAUAAGGAUCGGCUAACUCCGUGCCAGCAGCCGCGGUAAUACGGAGGAUGCAAGCGUUAUCCGGAUUUAUUGGGUUUAAAGGGUGCGUAGGCGGGCGGAUAAGUUAGAGGUGAAAUCUCGGGGCUCAACUUCGGAAUUGCCUCUGAUACUGUUCGGCUAGAGUGUAGUUGAGGUAGGCGGAAUGUGUGGUGUAGCGGUGAAAUGCUUAGAGAUCACGCAGAACACCGAUUGCGAAGGCAGCUUACCAAGCUACUUCUGACGUUGAGGCACGAAAGCGUGGGGAUCGAACAGGAUUAGAUACCCGAGUAGUC
rnacentral:rRNA from 1 species